rnacentral:lncRNA from 1 species
UGGUGUCUAACGUGCAUGCGAAGUAGAGGGUCUGCACAUCCAGACCUCUGCGAAAGUUUAAUUCAAAUUAAUUAAGAUUUGAUCUCUAGUUCCUCUACUGAUCAAGUAAGAAUUUGAUCUUUAAUCAUAUAAAUGAAUAAAAAAAUUUUUAGAUACAACUUGGGCCUUUCGAAGAGAAAUAGUUUCCCUUCACUUCAUUUUCAUAUCCUUGUGUUGGUGUUGAGGCACAUUG